CAGGAAUAGGUGGAGGAUCUAACGCUAGUGAAAUGAUCGAGACUUGGUCAAAGGGGUUAAGUUCUCCGACGGCUGCAAUUUCAUGAAUUGGAGCUUCCACUAAUUUCAAGCCAUAACGCUCUAAAAUCCGUGACCAAGAUUGAAGGAGCUUCUCGAUAACACUUGCUGUAGCCAAUAACCAUUCAAUGCGAAUAUGAUAACAUGAGGCAGGAUUAUGAAGCAAAUCGUAAUGGACGGUCACUGUUUCGGAUUUCCCAUUUUUUUUCUCAACGUCUGCAUUAAACAAAAUGCGUCUCGACAACUCUAACCGAGAAGGACCAGCUUCUGAUUCUGUUAUUAUUUUAUUAUCUAAAUGUUUUUGACCUGAAUCUUUUUUUCGACUGAACCAACUACGAUAUGGCCUGUUUGAAACAGGUUUGAUACUGUAAUCGGGUGAAAUUCGAUAAACAUAGUAGCCAUCUAACAAAGGGUGUUUUUUUAAUGCAUGAUCAAAGAGUCCUAGGCUUAACAACUUAUUUCCAUAUUUAAGAGCUUCUUCUCUAGUAUUGAUACCAAUGAAGGUAUUAGCUAACCAGGAAACAAAUUCACUCCCAAGAAAACAAUUCUCAUAAAUUCUGUAAUGCCAUGUAAUAUCGUCAAUUUUAGGAC